UACGUAGGGACCGAGCGUUGUCCGGAUUCAUUGGGCGUAAAGAGCUCGUAGGCGGCCACUCAAGUCGAAUGUGAAACCUCGAGGCUUAACCUCGAGCCUGCAUUCGAUACUGGGCGGCUAGAGUCUGGUAGGGGGAUCUGGAAUGCCCGGUGGAGCGGUGAAAUGCGUAGAGAUCGGGCGGAACACCAGCGGCGAAGGCGGCAUCCUGGUCCUGAACUGACGCUGAGGCGCGAUAGCGUGGGGAGCAAACGGG
rnacentral:rRNA from 1 species